rnacentral:rRNA from 1 species
ACGCUCGACACCUACGGGGAGGCAGCAGGUGGGGAAUAUUGCACAAUGGGGGAAACCCUGAUGCAGCGACGCCGCGUGAGCGAAGAAGUAUUUCGGUAUGUAAAGCUCUAUCAGCAGGGAAGAAACUGACGGUACCUGACUAAGAAGCACCGGCUAAAUACGUGCCAGUAGCCGCGGUAAUCUGAGCGGGCUGGCAAGGC